rfam:Stegodyphus mimosarum contig65090, whole genome shotgun sequence.
GCCUUCGUGGUGUAAUGGUUAGCACACUGAGCCGGUAUUUCAGAGGUCCGUGGUUCGAUUCCCGGCGAAGGCG